rnacentral:rRNA from 1 species
UACGGAGGGGGCUAGCGUUGUUCGGAAUUACUGGGCGUAAAGCGCACGUAGGCGGCUUUGCAAGUUAGAGGUGAAAGCCCGGGGCUCAACUCCGGAAUUGCCUUUAAAACUGCAUCGCUAGAAUUGUGGAGAGGUAAGUGGAAUUCCGAGUGUAGAGGUGAAAUUCGUAGAUAUUCGGAAGAACACCAGUGGCGAAAGCAGCGAAUUGGCGCUAUAUUGACGCUCAGGCACGAAAGCAUGGGGAUCAAACAGG